rnacentral:RNase_P_RNA from 1 species
GGCGGGUGGCCGGCGGCCGCUGCGCGGUUCGCCCGUGCAGAGGAAAGUCCGGACACCUCGGGGCAGCACGCCGCGCGCAAGCGCGGGGCCGACGGACGCAAGUCCGCCGCCACGGAUAGUGUCGCAGAAAAUAUACCGCCCGCUUCGGCGGGUAAGGUUGAAAUGGCGGGGUAAGAGCCCACCGCCCCGAGAGCAAUCGAGGGGGCAGGACAAACCCCGUGCGGUGCAAGACAGAACAGGAAUGACGGCCCGCCCCGGCCGCCCCGCGCAAGCAGGGCACAUUCCGGGUAUUAGUCGCACCCUGCGAAAGCGGGGCGCCGGCGCGAGCCGGUGAGAGAAAUGGCCGCCCGGACGGUUCGCCGUCCGACAGAAUCCGGCUUACGGCCACCCGCCCUUU